AUUGAACGCUGGCGGCAGGCCUAACACAUGCAAGUCGAGCGGAUGAAGGGAGCUUGCUCCUGGAUUCAGCGGCGGACGGGUGAGUAAUGCCUAGGAAUCUGCCUGGUAGUGGGGGAUAACGUCCGGAAACGGGCGCUAAUACCGCAUACGUCCUGAGGGAGAAAGUGGGGGAUCUUCGGACCUCACGCUAUCAGAUGAGCCUAGGUCGGAUUAGCUAGUUGGUGGGGUAAAGGCCUACCAAGGCGACGAUCCGUAACUGGUCUGAGAGGAUGAUCAGUCACACUGGAACUGAGACACGGUCCAGACUCCUACGAGAGGCAGCAGUGGGGAAUAUUGGACAAUGGGCGAAAGCCUGAUCCAGCCAUGCCGCGUGUGUGAAGAAGGUCUUCGGAUUGUAAAGCACUUUAAGUUGGGAGGAAGGGCAGUACGUUAAUACCUUGCUGUUUUGACGUUACCAACAGAAUAAGCACCGGCUAACUUCGUG
rnacentral:rRNA from 1 species